rnacentral:rRNA from 1 species
UACGAAGGGGGCUAGCGUUGCUCGGAAUCACUGGGCGUAAAGGGUGCGUAGGCGGGUCUUUUAAGUCAGGGGUGAAAUCCUGGAGCUCAACUCCAGAACUGCCUUUGAUACUGAGGAUCUUGAGUUCGGGAGAGGUGAGUGGAACUGCGAGUGUAGAGGUGAAAUUCGUAGAUAUUGGGAAGAACACCGGUGGCGAAGGCGGCCAACUGGACCACAACUGACGCUGAGGCGCGAAAGCGUGGGGAGCAAACAGG